CAAAAAGCAUCGACGAGGAGGAGUACAUGCAUUCCUGAUGAACAGAGAGAAAGUGGCUGGUGAAAACUUUCGUGAAGGGUGUAUGGAAGUAGCCUUUGAGCUUUGGAUUGAACAGAGAACAGACUCUUAGUAGACUCCAACGGAGAUUCCCACCGUUAUCAAGGGAAGCGAUAUCGGAAUCCAGUAAGGGCAUUCCCGCAUCGUACAGAGUGCAGAAUUUUUUCUGAAUUUAGGUGGUACCACGGACAUGUCAGUCCGCCCUAAGC
rnacentral:ncRNA from 1 species